GACGAACGCUGGCGGCGUGCUUAACACAUGCAAGUCGAACGGAAAGGCCCUGCUUGCAGGGUACUCGAGUGGCGAACGGGUGAGUAACACGUGGGUGAUCUGCCCUGCACUUCGGGAUAAGCCUGGGAAACUGGGUCUAAUACCGGAUAGGAGCCAUUUUUAGUGUGAUGGUUGGAAAGUUUUUUCGGUGUAGGAUGAGCUCGCGGCCUAUAAGCUUGUUGGUGGGGUAAUGGCCUACCAAGGCGGCGACGGGUAGCCGGCCUGAGAGGGUGGACGGCCAUCUUGGGACUUAGAGGCGGCCCAGACGCCGACGGGUGGCAGAAGUGGGGAAUAUUGCACAAGGGGCGCAAGCCGGGUGCAGCGAGGCCGCGGGGGGGAAGACGGCCUUCGGGGUGUAAACUCCUUUCGCUAGGGACGAAGCUUUUUGUGACGGUACCUAGAGAAGAAGCACCGGCUAACUACGUG
rnacentral:rRNA from 1 species